AGUAAUAUUCAUAUAUUUCUUUUAUUUAUAUUAAUUUAUAAUUGUUAUUGUAACACCCAAUUUUUAUCCCGGAUACAAAAAAUAGUCCCAAAAGAAACAGUCCAUUUACAAGUAGGCUCGUAUGGCCCAAUUAAUAAAACAAAUAAAGGCCCAAUCUACGGUGGCCCAAAUUACAGACAGAAACCCUAGGAUUUCAAUAGCGCCGCAACCAUCGCCAAGGGCCAAAUCUCCAUGCAAUCGCCUGCAAACACAAGGAAGGAAAGAAAAAUCAGGGAAUCAAGAUCAAAUCAAAUCAAAUCAAUAUGGAUAGAUUUAUUUCCUCAUUUUUAUUUUUAUUAUGGCUAUAAAAUAGCCCUGAAUACACUGUAACAAGGACCCGAAAUCAAAAUCAAUAAAAAGAAAAAAACAAUUACUUUCAACAAAGCAAUACCAAGAUUAAAAUCAGUCCAAAAGGUUUACAUUUUUUCGCCUUUCUUACUUUUAUGUUUAUUUUUAUUUUAUUUUAUUUUCACUUGCAUGUAAAGAAAAUCAAAAUAAAAAAGGAAAGAAAUCACCUGCUUUUGGUUUCUGAAUCACCGUGGGAAGGAAGAGGACUGUCUCCGAUGAUGGACGGCUAGAAUCCGAAAGGUUUCUAGGGCAUUUUUAGUUUUUUUUAGUCGAUUUUGAGAAUUUUGAGCCCGGAUCUAGGCUCAAGAGUGUUGGAAAGACUAGAUUUGAGAUUUUUUCUUUUCCGGCCACCACAUAAGGCGGAGCCGGCGUCGGAGAUCUGCGGCCGGCGCGGUGGCUGGUGAAGGGCCGAUGACCGUCCGAUGAUCGGCCAACGGCCGGAGGACCAACAGGCUGAAAGUGUUUUUUUGAGAAUUUGGUUUUUUUUU
rnacentral:lncRNA from 1 species